GAUGAACGCUGGCGGCGUGCCUAAUACAUGCAAGUCGAGCGAACAGACGAGGAGCUUGCUCCUCUGACGUUAGCGGCGGAAGGGUGAGUAACACGCGGAUAACCUACCUAUAAGACUGGGAUAAAUUCGGGAAACCGGAGCUAAUACCGGAUAAUAUAUUGAACCGCAUGGUUCAAUAGUGAAAGACGGUUUUGCUGUCACUUAUAGAUGGAUCCGCGCCGCAUUAGCUAGUUGGUAAGGUAACGGCUUACCAAGGCGACGAUGCGUAGCCGACCUGAGAGGGUGAUCGGCCACACUGGAACUGAGACACGGUCCAGACUCCUACGGGAGGCAGCAGUAGGGAAUCUUCCGCAAUGGGCGAAAGCCUGACGGAGCAACGCCGCGUGAGUGAUGAAGGUCUUCGGAUCGUAAAACUCUGUUAUUAGGGAAGAACAAAUGUGUAAGUAACUAUGCACGUCUUGACGGUACCUAAUCAGAAAGCCACGGCUAACUACGUG
rnacentral:rRNA from 1 species